CCUACGGGUGGCAGCAGUGAGGAAUAUUGGUCAAUGGUCGGGAGACUGAACCAGCCAAGCCGCGUGAGGGAGGAAGGUACAGGGUAUCGUAAACCUCUUUUGUCAGGGAACAAAGGCGGGGACGUGUCCCCGGAUGAGUGUACCUGAAGAAAAAGCAUCGGCUAACUCCGUGCCAGCGGCCGCGGUAAUACGGAGGAUGCGAGCGUUAUCCGGAUUUAUUGGGGUUAAAGGGUGCGCAGGCGGUCGGUAAAGUCAGCGGUCAAAGCCCGGGGCUCAACCCCGGCGCGCCGUUGAAACUGGCGGGCUAGAGUUGGAGAGAAGUAUGCGGAAUGCGCGGUGUAGCGGUGAAAUGCGUAGAUAUCGCGAAGAACUCCGAUUGCGAAGGCAGCAUGCCGGCUCCAGACUGACGCUGAGGCACGAAAGCGUGGGUAUCGAACAGGAUUAGAUACCCGUGUAGUC
rnacentral:rRNA from 1 species